GGCGAACGCUGGCGGCGUGCUUAACACAUGCAAGUCGAACGGAAAGGCCCUGCUUGCAGGGUACUCGAGUGGCGAACGGGGGAGUAACACGUGGGUGAUCUGCCCUGCACUUCGGGAUAAGCCUGGGAAACUGGGUCUAAUACCGGAUAGGAGCCAUUUUUAGUGUGAUGGUUGGAAAGUUGUUUCGGUGUCGGAUGAGCUCGCGGCCUAUCAGCUUGUUGGUGGGGUAAUGGCCUACCAAGGCGGCGACGGGGAGCCGGCCUGAGAGGGUGGACGGCCACAGUGGGACUGAGAUACGGCCCAGACUCCUACGGGAGGCAGCAGUGGGGAAGAUUGCACAAUGGGCGCAAGCCUGAUGCAGCGACGCCGCGUGGGGGAUGACGGCCUUCGGGUUGUAAACUCCUUUCGCUAGGGACGAAGCUUUUUGUGACGGUACCUAGAUAAGAAGCACCGGCUAACUACGUG
rnacentral:rRNA from 1 species